rnacentral:rRNA from 1 species
AACGAACGCUGGCGGCAUGCCUAACACAUGCAAGUCGAACGAGACCUUCGGGUCUAGUGGCGCACGGGUGCGUAACGCGUGGGAACCUGCCCUUAGGUUCGGAAUAACUCCCCGAAAGGGGUGCUAAUACCGGAUAAUGUCUUCGGACCAAAGAUUUAUCGCCUGUGGAUGGGCCCGCGUUGGAUUAGCUAGUUGGUAGGGUAAACGCCUACCAAGGCGACGAUCCAUAGCUGGUCUGAGAGGAUGAUCAGCCACACUGGGACUGAGACACGGCCCAGACUCCUACGGGAGGCAGCAGUGGGGAAUAUUGGACCAUGGGCGAAAGCCUGAUCCAGCAAUGCCGCGUGAGUGAUGAAGGCCUUAGGGUUGUAAAGCUCUUUUACCCGGGAUGAUAAUGACAGUACCGGGAGAAUAAGCUCCGGCUAACUCCGUG